AACAUUAAGAAACAUGAGAUGCUGUUGUCUGCUGCCUCAUUAAAGACAAGACUACCUUGGUGAAAAUCAAGAAGAUCUUUUCCAUUACUACCAGGAAUGUGAGGACUACACAGACAAAAACAUGAAGGUGAUUGUGAAGCACAAUGUCAUGGCUGAGGAGGAUCCAGAUUUGUCUAUUGUGAUCGAGGGAAACCAAGUAAUGGAAUCACAGAGUUUAGAUGCAACAAAAUGUGAUUGGACUUCUUCCAGUACUGCUCUGAUCUCCUCGCUUCUAGUUUCAUUUUCUACUCUCUCCUCCUCCUAAAACAGCAAUGUUUUAUUAUCCAACAUUAUUGAAACAACAUUUGAUAGUCCAGUGAGUUAACAUGUUCAUUACUUGAAAUGUUGUGUAAAGUUAUUGUGCUGCACUGUAUUUUGAGUGUUUCAUAUGAAUUUUUGGAUUAAAAACAUUGAUCUGAUGAA